ensembl:lncRNA
CUCAAGUGUCAGCCUUAUAAUAAACGAGUUCAAUGCUAAUUCAUCAUCAUCUGAAGAAAGAAAUAACUAUCUUUACAAACAAGACCCGAAAGUUAUUGCUGCAACAUUGAGGGCCUUUCUGAUUUGUCUUAUUGGGAUAAUUCUUUCAGCAGUCGUUGCUUUUUUGGUAACAAAAUCCAACAGAAAAAAAUGGAGGAGGUCUGAAAACCUGGAGACUGUGACUGAAGAAGUUCCAAUGCUGGAUGCUGAUCAAGCAACAGUAUAUGAUGGGAUCCAUGAGCGAGAGGCAGCUGAAGGAGAAACUUAGUCAUGUGAGAACGCAUCGCUGGUGACAAUGAUGACAUUGCACCAAAGACGUGGACAACAUUGACAAUGACGUCAAAACCAGGAAGGAGAGGAGAAACAGAAUAUGUUGAAAUAAAGACAGAAAAAAG